CAACACGUGGGAAAGAGGACUAGCAG
rnacentral:piRNA from 1 species